UACGAAGGGGGCUAGCGUUGCUCGGAAUCACUGGGCGUAAAGCGCACGUAGGCGGCUUGUUAAGUCAGGGGUGAAAUCCUGGAGCUCAACUCCAGAACUGCCUUUGAUACUGGGAAGCUUGAGUCCGGGAGAGGUGAGUGGAACUCCGAGUGUAGAGGUGAAAUUCGUAGAUAUUCGGAAGAACACCAGUGGCGAAGGCGGCUCACUGGCCCGGUACUGACGCUGAGGUGCGAAAGCGUGGGGAGCAAACAGG
rnacentral:rRNA from 1 species